AAGGCUAUAACUCAGUGGUAGAGUGCCUGCUUAGCAUGCGCGAGGUCCUGGGUUCAAUCCCCAGUGCCUCCA
rnacentral:tRNA from 1 species